GACGAACGCUGGCGGCGUGCUUAACACAUGCAAGUCGAACGGAAAGGCCCUGCUUUUGUGGGGUGCUCGAGUGGCGAACGGGUGAGUAACACGUGAGUAAACUGCCCUUGACUUUGGGAUAACUUCAGGAAACUGGGGCUCAUACCGGAUAGGAGAUCCUGCUGCAUGGUGGGGGUUGGAAAGUUUCGGCGGUUGGGGAUGGACUCGCGGCUUAUCAGCUUGUUGGUGGGGUAGUGGCUUACCAAGGCUGUGACGGGUAGGCGGCCUGAGAGGGGGAACGGCGACAUGGGGACUGCGAGACGGCGCAGACGCCUACGGGAGGCAGCAGUGGGGAAUAUUGCGGAGUGGGCGGAAGCCUGAGGCAGCAGCGCCGCGUGCGGGAUGACGGCCUUUGGGUUGAAAACCGCUUUCGCAGGUGACGAAGAGGGAGUGACGGUAAUGGGUAAAGAAGCAACGGCUAACUACGUG
rnacentral:rRNA from 1 species